GCCAGGGAACCAGAGAUCAGCCAGGUAGCCCAACGCCUUUUGUAAUUAUGCAAACUAGACAAUCACCAAUGGUUCACUCCAUCUGCCUUACCUUUCCUUCGGAAACCUCAAUAAAGGCAGUGGCCUAACUCUUCCCCUAGCUCCUGUCUUCUGCCUCCUGACUACCACGGUGUCUUUCCCAUGUGAACUCAGGUGGCAUUUUGUGCCUCUAGGACCUGGCAGCAUGCAACUGACAAGAAGAACAACAAAGAAGGAACAGGAAAGGAUUGUUUAGCUGACAUGGAAGAUUCAAUAUCUGAACAAGGAGUUCUAAAUAAUUCUCUGCACCUUAGUCUGCCAAUACUCAUUCUAAAACUACACAAAGGAGAUUCAAAAUAAAAAGAGGAUGAUAAACGGCAAAACCAUCUGAGGAAUCAUCUGGAAGAUGUGUUAAAACAAAAAACUAGACUGCACAGUCCCACCACCAGAUUGAGUCAGACCUGAGAAUCUGCACUUUUAACAAGUUCCAGAUCAUGCUGUCGCUGACAAGGGAUCACUCUUUGUGAACCACUGACCUCAACUAGUUAUGGAACAGGAUUAACAUUCAUGAAGCAAAGGGAAGAGGAAUCAAGUGCAUCCAAGCAUAUAUCUGAAUUGGAAAGUGAAUUGAAAUAAGAUAGAGAGAAGAAAGAUGAAAGGCAUGGAAGGGGAAUGAGGAAGAAACAAGGAAGAGGAAGAGAAAUAAGGUGAAGAGAGGAGUAAAAGAAGAAGGGAAGGAAAGAGGAGAGGAGAAGAGAAGAAAGAAGAGAAGAAAAGAGAUACAAGAGGCAAGGUAGCCCCUUGUCAAGCAAAUGUGUGGUGACUCCAGAGCCAACAGUUCUGGUGUUUAGUGCUUGAUCUUUAGAUUUAAGAUUGCAGUUAAAGUGAUGGAACACUGUGGCUGCCAGUUGGUGCACCAGCUUUCUGAAUCUCAAUUUCUGGUAUUGGCCAAGUGAAGUGUAAGUAAAUUAAUGUACUGCAUUGUCAUGUUACUCAAAGUAGAAAAAAUGUCGAAACAAUGUAAAUGUUCCUCAAGAGUAGAUCAGUUAAUCAAUGUGUAUCCAUAUAAUUUAUUUAUUUUUUUCAUUAAAAUACUGUAGAUCUAUGUUCACUGCCAAGGAAGAGUGUGAUGGCUCAAACAUUCAGGCAUUCAUUCACUUAAUGCAUAUUUAUUGAACACUUUCUGUGAACUUGGUAAUAUACUUGAUCUUGAUGGUGACAAAAUUGAAAUAUUUACAUCAUUAUAUAAAUUAUUAUUUAGAAAUUCAUGACAUAUUAAAAUAAAAUGUAUAAAACUAUGAAUAAAAAUAAUCUUGCAUUAAAGACAUGUACUUGCAUAUUCAUAGAAAAACAUCUAGCCUACAGUGGUCAUUCAAUAAAUGGAGACAGUGGAAAUAUCUGAACUGUAUGAAUAAAAGUUACUACUUUAUAUCUUUAUAUACUGCCUAAUUAAUAUUUUACAUCAUAAUUUUAUUGCUUUUAUAAUCAGAGGAAAUAAACUGUUUCCAUUUUUAAAAUAAAAUAAUUUAGGCAUACGUGGCAUACUUAUAAAUCUUCUUUAUUCAGAAUAUGCUUUUUUGUUCUCAAGUGCAAUUCGUCCAAUAUUGUAAUGAAUAGUCUUAUUUUAUAUAUGAUAUAUGUAUCUCAUUUUACAUAUGUGUCAUAUUUUAUAGAUAUGUUUCUGAUGGAAUUAAUCUGGUAUGUCUUCUUAAGUUUCAGUGGAAACACAAGAAAUCAUCAAUUGCAAUGCUAAGCAUGUUGUAAAAUGCCAUUUCUUCCAAAUAGUAAUGAUUUAUUGAGUAUUUACAAUGUGCAGGACAUGAUGCUAAUUAAUUAACCCUCACUACAACCAAACAUAUUAGAUCCAAAAACUUAGCAUCUCUUUACACAAUAGGAAACUAUCACCCUAGGAGAAUAAAUACCUUGUCCAGUCUAUAUGGUUAGUACAUGAUAGAACAUAGAUUUGAAAAGAGUCUUAUAGAGGCAGUAAGUCCAUUUCCAAGAUACUGUAUCUUUUUAUUUAUCUAUUAUUUUUUAUUUAACUUGGUACUUUUGUCUUCAUAAUGAUUGUACUGUCUUUCAUGUUAUAAAAAAAGGUGAUAAUUUCCUUAGAACAUUGUAAAUGUUAAUUGUCUUAACAUUUCAAUUUAGAAUUUUGUCUUCUCACAGAGUGAAGAGGCAUAAAUUCACAGUUUAUAUCUUUUAAUGUGUUGGGUUUAUAGCCUAAGCUUAGUGGGUUCGGUUUAUGAUAACAUAGUAAUUGAUAGUGAAAUUCAUAGCUGGGCAUGAUGGCACACAUGUACAGAGCUGGGCUCUGAAGUCUCACCUACUGAGGAGGCUGAGGCCAGAGGAUUGCUCGAGCCCAGGAGUUUGAUGCUGCAGUGAGUUAUGAUCACAGCACUGCACUAUAUCCUGGUGACAAGAAAGACAGGAAGGGAAAGGGAGAAAAGACAUUCUGCUGUCUGCGUUUCAAAAAGCCAGGCAAAUAUAUCUGUUUUGCUUCAUUUAGUUUUUCAUCAUUUCCUUCUUCCAUAGAAAAACAUGUUUUGAAACCUCUGUUUAGCCACUUAGGUGCAAAACACACUCACACACACACACAAACUAUUACACAAAUAAAGAGGUGCAUUGCAAUAACCUCCAAAAGUUAUUGUAUAACUUUACCAAUAUGCUGAUGUCCUUAAAAAGAAUUAUUGUUAAGAACAAUGAAUAGGCUGUGUGAAUCUAAAGGAGAAUUUAACAAACAUUCUGAAAUUCUUCAAAUUUGUCCUUUCUCUAAUAUCUAAGUAGACUUCUUGCUUCUAAUUAUCUCUGCAGUUCUUAUGAAGUCAUUUCCUUUCAAGGAAAGUUAAUGAUUGAAAGUUACCAUCCUAUUAGCCAAGUGAUUGAUGUUAGAUAAUUGCAUUGUGAAAGAUAGCAGCUACAAACAAAAGCCUUCCUAUUCUCACCAGUUUAGCACUCUUUCCUAAUAAAGAACCAGAAUGUGACUUCCCAAAUGUUAUUAUUCACACUUUGUUUUAGAACCGAUAUACCAUAUAAGAAAGAAUAAAGGUGUCACUGAGAUAUGAAGAAUGCUAGUGUUAAAUAUGAACGUGGGCAUAUUUUCCACUAAAUUUGGAAUAACAUUAAUAUAUAUUGUUCAUCUCUAAGGCAAAUGCAACCAGAUAAACUUCAACCACAAUAUACAGAGAAGGGGAAUUAUUAUGAAUUUCACAAUUAACAAGAAAAUGCUUUUCAAUACAAUUCAAAAAGAGUUCUCUGAUUUCUAGAACUAUUCAAUUCAAGUCAUUCAAAACCCCAUAUGUUAAACUAAGUUUUGUACUAAGCAUGUGAAAUGCAAAACUCAAGUGAUAAAAUGUCUGCCCUGAAAGUGUAAAUAUGCAGUGCAACAAACAAGAGAGAACCAGUGGAAUAGGCUGUAGCCCUGUGUGCAAAUACCUUCCACAAACUGAGAGUAAAGGAAUAUCAGAACAUCCAUAAGGAUAAAUAGACUUCUGUCAAACUAAGAAGGAAAAAUAGCUAAUUCCAAGAGAAUAUAUUGCAUAAAAAACACGGACAUGGUGAAACUACCUGGAGCAUUCACAUAAAUGCUUUAAAAUCCAGUGCAGCUCACAUGGAGAAUGCAUGGUGGUGGGAGAUAAAACUAAAAGGAGGAUUUGGGAUACACGUUACUAUUUAAAUUACCAGCUCCAUUUCAGAAAGAUAAUUCUGGCAGCAAUUUGAGGAAGAAAUAAGAAUAAAGAUCGAGGAUCAUCAUCAGGUCUGCCCAGUUGUCUCAGCGGGAGGUGAGAGAGCCUGAGAAAAUACAGUGGAGGCUGAAUGGGGAGCAGAGGAAGAACCAGAACGGUAACUUCAGCAUCAAAGGUGCCCAACUUCAUGGAGACUUUUAAGAACAUAGGCAAACUUCAGCUUUAAAAAGUGUGUGAUGCUUUGAGAACUUGUAUUUAAUUCACUUAACAACAUCUCUAUGAGAUAGCACCAUUCCCGACUUGUAGAAAAUAUGGUUGAAACCCAGACAUCAAAGAGUUUAGUACACAAAGAAGAUUCAAAUCUAAAACCAAUAGCUAUAUUACUCUGAUGCUGUUUUCUAAAAACAGAGUAGUUUUUGUUAUAUAGCCAUACAAAAUUCUAGGAGAUGCUAGUUUUGCAUUUGGAUAUCUAUCUAUCUAUCCAUCCAUCUAUCUAUAUCUAUAUAACUAUCUUCCUGUAUCAAUCCUGUAGAAUUUGAGAAAUUAUUAUCUCUUCUUCACAAAAUUUCUUUAAAGUAACAGAAAUAUAGAAAAGAAUAAUAAUACUGACAGUAGGACUUCUGAUCUCGUCUCUUUUCUAAUUCAGUCCUAUUGGCUCUAUAUGACUCCUUGUCCAAUCUAGACACCCAUGUUCAGAAACUUCUGGAAUGUCCUGACAAACGUAUUCUGGUUCCAGCAUAAACUACUGCCACUCUAAACUAACAUUACCAAAACUAUACCCCUUCUUCCACUUCUCAUGCUGCAGAGAGUUAUUCUGAAGCAACAAAAUACAAUUUAGACCAGGCCCACUAAAAACAUAUGAUAUCUCAUCUCAAUUAUAUCUUUGUUAUGACUUGGAAAUGCUUAUACUCAUCAAUGUAUCUAAAACAUUUUUGAAGUUAGAAUACAAAAAGCAUUAUUUUAAAGUAUUUUCAAUUUAAUAAGUAUUUAUUACAUCAUUACUAAGGUUAAUAAUGAUAAGCUUGCAUUUUUCGACUAUUUGCCAGUUGUCAAACAGUGUUUGACAUGCUUCACAUGCAUUAUCCUAUUUAAUCCUCAGAGCUAAUGCCAUACUGCUGUAAGGACUAAAGCAGAAACACAAAGAAAAGAAACACCUCUGACUCAGCCUCCCAUACUGAAGCCGUGACUCUAAGUAAGACUUCAGACAACACAACCCAAUAACUCAAUAGAUUCCUUAUUAUUAUUCUUAGUCUGCAUCUGGAGCCACAGAGGUUUAGGGGCAUUAAACAAAUACUUCAAGGUCACAGAGCUAAUAGCUGUCAAAACCAGAACUUAAAAUAGUUCUACUUGAAUCUAAGGUUAAUUGUUAUUUAUAUUAUACUAUUAUUAUCUUACAUUCAAGGUCCCCCAAAUCCUUACCAUAGUAUAUAAUAAAAAAUAUGAAAUAAAAUUGGUUUCAAUUUACUGUUAUAGUUGUUUAAAUAAGAGAUAAAUAUAUCAAGAUAAACAUAAAAAUAUAGAAGAUAACAAUACAAGAGGUUUAAGAAAAGCAUAUUAUUAAUUAGAGAAUGCAUAUAUAAUAAUAUUUAUUUUUUAAGUUAAGAGCCAAUGGUCAGAAUUGUCUACCUCUUCUUUGCAUUAUCCAAGAAGUCCUUGAAAUGAUACAGUGGGUUUUACAUGUUUUUAAAGUGUAAACUCAUAAUCUUAGGGAAAACAAGAGUUUCCCAGCAGCAGAUUUUAUAUUUUAAGAAAUUAUUGGAAAAUUAGGAGGUAGGCAUGGUAUGUUUACUUGACAAUAAAGACCAGAGGAAACUACAAAUAAAGCCUUAUCAGGGAAGCCUGUAGAAAUACUCUCAAAUGAGAGUGAAUUAUGCAGAGCAAAAGAGUAUCUGCAAGGACUGAGGGCCAUCUUUACCACAGUUAAGAUCUUUAUUCUGAGAAGCUAGGCAGCAUAGGCAGUCUUGACUCUCAACCUCCCUCAAACAUUUUCUAAACAGAGUAAAGUAUCUGCUUAGAGAGAGAUCCUACUCAGCAACUAAGGAUGAAGAUUUACAGGAGUAAAGCUAACUCCAGACCACUACAGGGACUACAGAGGCAGAAACACAAAGAAAAGAAAUGCAUCUGACUCAGCCUCCCAUACUGAAGCAGUGACUCUAAGUAAGACUUCAGACAAGGUGCCACCAUAACUCCAGCCAGUUGGAUAGAGAACUCCUGUAGUGGGAAGAUAAACACUCUCCCUUAUUUAUAAUCACUCAGAGUUUUUAGCCAUAACAAGAACACAGGUUCAAUAACAAGGAAAUAUCAAUAAUCAAAUAUAUUCGGGAAGAAAAAACAUUGAAUGAACACACAUUUCAGAAAAGUAAAGGUUUCACGUAAAGAGGAAGCCCUACAAAUGGGCCACAUGAAAGUAGCUGAGUUUAAAGAAACUACAUGUUCAAUAGCCUCAACAGAAAUGAACAUCUGACAGAAAGGAAAGGUUUCCUUCUUUAAAGAAAUUAAAACAAUUUAUUUUAAAGGGAAACAAAAUAAACAUGCUGAAGAUUGGCUUAAACCAGAAUGUCUGACUGAGAUUUUCUGCCUGAAUGCUAAGCCAAUGGCAAAGUGAUUGAAUGAGAAAGAAAUUAAGAAAAAUGAUGAGAUGUAUCUACAGGUUUCAAGAUCCAUAUAAAAGAAAUUUAUAAAAUGAGAGUACAGAAAAAAUGGAUAGAGAAAGAUAAAGACACAGUUGAAUAAAUUUCCCUGAGUUGUAGGAAGGCAGUUUUCAGAUUGAAAAGGCUCAGAGGUCUCUCAUCAGAAAAAAAAAUGAAACAGAAAAACAAAACCAAAAGUACUCAGUAUAUUUUAAUGAGACAAAUUUAGAUGUAUUUUUGUCAAGUGUCAGAAUCCAAAAAUAAAUAGAAAGAAAAAAAACAGAAAAUCUUUGUCAUAAAGAUUUUAAUAGCUGCUAAAAUAUAAUGUCUGCAAGGGAAUUAUUUAAUUAUUUUAAACCUAACAACCUAAACCAGGAAAAAACUAGUGGUCCAAUAUGAAGUUUGAACUAUAUCCCAAAAAUUUCUGGUAAAAUUAGUAGAUGAUAAAUUGAUGAAAACAGAAAAGAAAAUCAAAAAGAUCUUGUGAAAUACAAGACACAUUUUGGGGACAAAUAAAGAAAAACAAAAUUAUAUCUAAAUAACUAUUUCUAAAAAUGUACAUUUAAUUAAUCAAAAUUAUACAAUAAUAUUACAGACAAAACAAUACUGGGGGUAAUUUAUGGGAAGGAAAGAAUAAAAAAGAGGAAUGUUAAAUAUAGUUUAAUAUAUCAAUGAAAAGAGAAUUUAAGAAAAUGCUUUAAAUAAAAAAGAGAAGUAUUUUAUGUUAAUAAAAGUUUAAAUCCACCCAAGAGAUAGAAAAAUAAUGAGCAUAUUUUACAUUAAAAAAUUUAGCAAUGAAAUUUAUAAAGCAAAAAAAAUUAGAAGCACAAGAGAAAAUUUAAAAUUUUUUAUAAAUUCUGAUUGACUUCAAAAAGCCUCUCACAAAGAAUAACAAACCAAGUAUUAAAUACAUGAGUAAAGAAAAAUAGCAUAUGAUUAACAAAUAUAUUGGGCAACACAAGAAAUCCCAGUGAGUUUCAAAAACUUAAAAAUCCUACAUAGCACAUUACUUAACAAAAUGCAAUAAAUCCACAGUAAAAUAACAAAAGGAUAGUCCAAAAGUAUGUUCACGUAUAAAUUCACUUAUAAUUAAUUUUUUAAAAUAAGCUAGCAUAAUUUAGAAAUCAAAGGCAGAUAGAAUUUUACCCAAUUUAUAAAAUAUAGUCAAAGAUGUUCUCAGGUAAAAUAAAUAAUAAGCCAAAAUUAAUAGAAUUUAAAAUAAAAGUAUAGGUUUGAUCUCUAAAAUAGUUUAAAUACAACCUUAUUUGGGCUAGCAAAGAUAAUUUAGAAAAUUUAGUAAAGAUAUAAAUAUCAAAUAUUACCAGGAAUGUGAAUGAAUAAAUGAAUGAAUUUAGUGGGCAUAAAGCAAUUAUAUAUAAAUACAUUUUAAAAAUCUAGAUAUAGCACAUUAAUUCCUAGCAAUAUGUAAAGCAUAAGAAUUUAUCUAGAAGUAGAAAACCUGGCUAGACUAAUAAGUAUAAAAGAAAUUGAAUAAGCCUUCAAAGAUAAAGCCAAGACUUUUUAUUAAUAUGAUCUAGAAAAGAAUACAGAAUAUGCCUAACAUUAAAAAUGAGAUUCGAGUCCUGAUAUGUCACACUAAAAGUGCAUUGUCUUAAACAUUAUACAAAAUAAUAGUAAUAUGAUAUAAUAACAUCAAACACUUUAAAACUACAUUUAAACCAGUAUGAGCUAAUAUGGCUUGAUAUAAGAUAAGAAAUGACCAAUUUUCCCAUAUAUUGGCCAAAUUUCAAUUAAAAAAUAUAAUUAGAAGGUCCCUCAGAAAACUAAAAAUGGAGCUACCAUAUGCUCCAGCAAUCCUACUCCUAGGUAUAUACCCAAAUGGAAGGAAAUUAGUAUAUCAAAGAGAUAUCCGCACUCCCAUGUUUGUUGCAGCACUGUUCAUAAUAGCCAAACUUUGGAAGCAACCUCAGUGCCCAUCAAUAGAUAAAUGAAUAAAGAAAAUUUGGUACUUAUAAACAAUGGAGUACUAUUCAGCCAUACAAAAGAAUGAGAUACUGUCAUUUGCAACAACACGAAUGGAAUUGGACGUCUUUCUACAAAGUGAAAUAAACCAGACACAGAAAGACAAACAUCGUAUGUCAUCACAUACUUGUGGGAUUUAAAAAUCAAAGCAAUUGAACCUAUAGAGAUAAAGAGCAGAAGGAGGGUUACCAGAGGCUGGGAAAGGUAGUCGGGUGGGUGGGGAGGAAGUGGAGAUGGUUAAUAGGUACAAAAUAACAGGCACAAUGAACAACACCUAGUAUUUGAUAGCACAACAGGGGCAAUACAGCCAAUAAUAACUUAAUUGUACAUUUAAAAAUAACUAGAAGAUUAUAACUGGAUUGCUUGUAACACAAAGGAUAAAUGCUUGAGGGGAUGGGCACCUCAUUGCACAUCAUGUGAUUAUUACACAUUGUACACCUGUAUCAAAACAUCUCAUGUAUCCCAUAAACGUAUACACUUAAUAUGUAUUCACAAAAGUUAAAAUUAAAAAUUAAAAAAUAUAUGUAAUUAAAAGAAAACGUUCAACUAAACAGUGAAAAUGCUAUAAUAUAUAAGAAUCAACAUGAAGAAUUUGAGGCAUAUAUCAUUUUUCAAUCAUCAUAGGAGAAAAGGAAAAAUAUUGAUUAUAUCUACUGUUGAUAGUGUGUGAGAAAAUGCAUAUCAUCACACAGUUUUGGUGAGAGUGUGAAAUUGUCCAUCUUUUUUGAAAGGGACUUAGGAUUGUCUAUGCAAAUGAAAAAUGCAUACAUUUUGCUUUGGCAGUUUAACUUCUGUGUGUGUGUAUAUAUGUGUAUAGAAAGAGAUUCACAACAUCAUGGAUUAUAAUGAAAUAUAUGGAAACACAGUCUGUUCAAUAAACUGUGAUACAUUAUGAUAAAUAAAAACAGAGCUAUAGCCACAAUAUUAAAUGAAAAAAAGUAAGUUUCUUAAUACUAGAUGUAGUAUGAUCCAUUUAUGUAAGCUCACAUUGAGGUGCACUGAGCCCUCGGUUUAUGCCUCAUAAUAAAUAUGUCUGUAGAAAGAUUAUCAUUCUUGCUAGUUUAGUAAUAUACCUGAAAUAUGUACUUUACUGUUGUUUCUAAUGGUCACAUGUAAAACUGAAGGAUUUCAGACAAUCCAAGAGCUUUUUUUUCAAUUUAUGUGCAAAGGCUACUAGAAAUUACACUCACUGAAAUUAAUUUCUAAGAUAUUUUUCCACUUUGGCUCUAACAGUAAAAGUUUGUCACUAGACUUAUUCUAUUACUCAGUGUUUACUGACUAUUAUGAGCAUACUAACAUUAUAAGCGCAGAUUUUGUGCCAAACCUAUGAUGGACUUUCAUUUGGUUGAAUCACAAAAUGAAACAAACACUUCUCUGAUUUUAGUAUGUGCUAAUAAAUCUCUAGAUUGUUUUGCUCUCUGAUCUUGUAAUAAGCUGUUAAUGUAGCAACCGAAUAUUUUGACUUUCUUCUGAGACAAAAGAGAAAACAAAUAAAUGACAGAAAUUUUCUGCUUAACAGUGUGUUUAUUGCUUUUCAUUCAGUGUGUCAUAAGAUACAUUUUCGGGAGAAUGAAAUUCUACAGAAAUCGCUUCUCUUUAUAUCAUAUAAGUUAAAGAAUUCAAAAACUGCAUUAACAAGCAACAAAAAUUGUAAGCCUGUUUGAUACUAUCAUAGUUUAUAAAUAUACACUAUAUCCAAUAGCAUAUUUAUUCAAAUUAUUGUUUUAUUGGGGAUUUGGGAUAUAGUUGGAUAGCUCAGAAGAGAGUCUGGGCAAUUUGUAGGC
rnacentral:lncRNA from 10 species